UACGUAGGGUGCAAGCGUUGUCCGGAAUUAUUGGGCGUAAAGAGCUCGUAGGCGGCUUGUCACGUCGACUGUGAAAACCCGGGGCUCAACUCCGGGCCUGCAGUCGAUACGGGCUGGCUUGAGUGCGGUAGGGGAGACUGGAAUUCCUGGUGUAGCGGUGAAAUGCGCAGAUAUCAGGAGGAACACCGGUGGCGAAGGCGGGUCUCUGGGCCGUAACUGACGCUGAGGAGCGAAAGCGUGGGGAGCGAACAGGAUUAGAAACCCCAGUAGUCC
rnacentral:rRNA from 1 species